rnacentral:rRNA from 1 species
AUUGAACGCUGGCGGCAGGCCUAACACAUGCAAGUCGAACGGUAACAGGAAGAAGCUUGCUUCUUUGCUGACGAGUGGCGGACGGGUGAGUAAUGUCUGGGAAACUGCCUGAUGGAGGGGGAUAACUACUGGAAACGGUAGCUAAUACCGCAUAACGUCGCAAGACCAAAGAGGGGGACCUUCGGGCCUCUUGCCAUCGGAUGUGCCCAGAUGGGAUUAGCCAGUAGGUGGGGUAACGGCUCACCUAGGCGACGAUCCCUAGCUGGUCUGAGAGGAUGACCAGCCACACUGGAACUGAGACACGGUCCAGACUCCUACGGGAGACAGCAGUGGGGAAUAUUGCACAAUGGGCGCAAGCCUGAUGCAGCCAUGCCGCGUGUAUGAAGAAGGCCUUCGGGUUGUAAAGUACUUUCAGCGGGGAGGAAGGGAGUAAAGUUAAUACCUUUGCUCAUUGACGUUACCCGCAGAAGAAGCACCGGCUAACUCCGUG